AGAGUUUGAUCCUGGCUCAGGAUGAACGCUGGCGGCGUGCUUAACACAUGCAAGUCGAACGAAGCUGCUUAACUGAUCUUCUUCGGAAUUGACGUUUUGUAGACUGAGUGGCGGACGGGUGAGUAACGCGUGGGUAACCUGCCCUGUACAGGGGGAUAACAGUCAGAAAUGACUGCUAAUACCGCAUAAGACCACAGCACCGCAUGGUGCAGGGGUAAAAACUCCGGUGGUACAGGAUGGACCCGCGUCUGAUUAGCUGGUUGGUGAGGUAACGGCUCACCAAGGCGACGAUCAGUAGCCGGCUUGAGAGAGUGAACGGCCACAUUGGGACUGAGACACGGCCCAAACUCCUACGGGAGGCAGCAGUGGGGAAUAUUGCACAAUGGGGGAAACCCUGAUGCAGCGACGCCGCGUGAGUGAAGAAGUAUCUCGGUAUGUAAAGCUCUAUCAGCAGGGAAGAAAAUGACGGUACCUGACUAAGAAGCCCCGGCUAACUACGUGCCAGCAGCCGCGGU
rnacentral:rRNA from 1 species